CCUACGGGUGGCUGCAGUGGGGAAUAUUGGACAAUGGGGGGAACCCUGAUCCAGCCAUGCCGCGUGUGUGAAGAAGGCCCUCGGGUUGUAAAGCACUUUCAGUGAGGAAGAACGCCUGGUGGUUAAUACCCAUCAGGAAAGACAUCACUCACAGAAGAAGCACCGGCUAACUCCGUGCCAGCAGCCGCGGUAAUACGGAGGGUGCGAGCGUUAAUCGGAAUUACUGGGUGUAAAGCGCGCGUAGGUGGCUUGAUAAGCCGGUUGUGAAAGCCCCGGGCUCAACCUGGGAACGGCAUCCGGAACUGUCAAGCUAGAGUGCAGGAGAGGAAGGUAGAAUUCCCGGUGUAGCGGUGAAAUGCGUAGAGAUCGGGAGGAAUACCAGUGGCGAAGGCGGCCUUCUGGACUGACACUGACACUGAGGUGCGAAAGCGUGGGUAGCAAACAGGAUUAGAUACCCCAGUAGUC
rnacentral:rRNA from 1 species